rnacentral:rRNA from 1 species
UCUAGGCAUGCAAGUCGACGGUCAUACCUUGAAGGCAACGGAUGGGUAUGAUAGUGGCGAACGGGUGAGGAAUACAUAGAUAACGUACCCUAGACUCAGGGAUAGCGGCGUCUGCCGAAAGGCAGGCUUUGCGAAAGUGCCGGUAAUACCUGAUGACCCCGCGGGAUCGCAUGGUCCUGCGGGCAAAGCUCCGGCGGUCUGGGAUCGGUUUAUGCCCUAUCAGCUAGUUGGUGAGGUAACGGCCCACCAAGGCAUCGACGGGUAUCGGGCGUGAGAGCGUGACCCGACACAUCGGAACUGAGACACGGUCCGGACACCUACGGGUGGCUGCAGCAACGAAUAUUCCGCAAUGGGCGCAAGCCUGACGGAGCGACGCCGCGUGCAGGAAGAAGUCCUUCGGGAUGUAAACUGCUGUCAGGGGUGAGGAAAACUGACCAACCCCAGAGGAAGCACCGGCUAACUCCGUGCCAGCAGCCGCGGUAAUACGGAGGGUGCGAGCGUUGUUCGGAAUCACUGGGCUUAAAGCGCGUGUAGGCGGGUCGUUAAGUGUUGGGUGAAAUCCCUCGGCUCAACCGAGGAACUGCCCGGCAUACUGGCGGUCUUGAGGCAUGUAGAGGUGACUGGAACGACUGGUGGAGCGGUGAAAUGCGUAGAUAUCAGUUGGAACGCCGGAGGCGAAAGCGGGUCGCUGGGCAUGUCCUGACGCUGAGACGCGAAAGCGUGGGUAGCAAACAGGAUUAGAUACCCUGGUAGUCCACGCCGUAAACGAUGCGCACUAGGUCUGAGAGGCUCUCACGCCGAUCGAGCCGAAGCAAAAGUGCUAAGUGCGCCGCCUGGGGAGUACGGCCGCAAGGCUAAAACUCAAAGGAAUUGACGGGGGCUCACACAAGCGGUGGAGUAUGUGGAUU